UACGUAGGGUGCGAGCGUUGUCCGGAAUUAUUGGGCGUAAAGAGCUCGUAGGCGGUUUGUCACGUCUGCUGUGAAAUCCCGAGGCUCAACCUCGGGUCUGCAGUGGGUACGGGCAGACUGGAGUGCGGUAGGGGAGAAUGGAAUUCCUGUAGCGGUGGAAUGCGCAGAUAUCAGGAGGAACACCGAUGGCGAAGGCAGUUCUCUGGGCCGUAACUGACGCUGAGGAGCGAAAGCGUGGGGAGCGAACAGG
rnacentral:rRNA from 1 species